ensembl:misc_RNA Metazoa_SRP Metazoan signal recognition particle RNA
GCCAGGAAUGGUGGUGCAGGCCUGUAGUUCCAGCUACUUAGGAGGCUGAGGCAGGAGGAUCCCUUCAGCCCCAAGGGCUCUGGGCAAUAAUACACUAUGCCAAUCAGGUUUCUACACUAAGUUCAGCAUCAAUACGGUGACCUCCGGGGAGCAGGGGACCACCAGAAGUGGUGAACCAGCCUAGGUCAGAAACAGAGCCGGUUAAAACUCCUGUGCUGUUCAGCAGCAGAACUAUGCCUGUGAAUAGCCACUGCACUCCAGCCUGGGCAACGUAGCAAGACCGCCGUCUCU